UGUACCUACGGGAGGCAGCAGUAGGGAAUAUUGCUCAAUGGGGGAAACCCUGAAGCAGCAACGCCGCGUGGAGGAUGAAGGUUUUCGGAUUGUAAACUCCUUUUGUUAGAGAAGAUAGUGACGGUAUCUAACGAAUAAGCACCGGCUAACUCCGUGCCAGCAGCCGCGGUAAUACGGAGGGUGCAAGCGUUAAUCGGAAUCACUGGGCGUAAAGCGCGCGUAGGCGGCUUUUCAAGUCAGGGGUGAAAUCCCACGGCCCAACCGUGGAACUGCCUUUGAAACUGUAGAGCUUGAGUGUCGGAGAG
rnacentral:rRNA from 1 species